UUAGUGGCGAACGGGUGAGUAACACGUGAGUAACCUGCCCUUGACUCUGGGAUAAGCCUGGGAAACUGGGUCUAAUACUGGAUAUGACCUUCCAUCGCAUGGUGGUUGGUGGAAAGCUUUUGUGGUUUUGGAUGGACUCGCGGCCUAUCAGCUUGUUGGUGGGGUAAUGGCCUACCAAGGCGACGACGGGUAGCCGGCCUGAGAGGGUGGACGGCCACACUGGGACUGAGACACGGCCCAGACUCCUACGGGAGGCAGCAGUGGGGAAUAUUGCACAAUGGGCGCAAGCCUGAUGCAGCGACGCCGCGUGAGGGAUGAAGGCCUUCGGGUUGUAAACCUCUUUCAGUAGGGAAGAAGCGAAAGUGACGGUACCUGCAGAAGAAGCGCCGGCUAACUACGUGCCAGCAGCCGCGGUAAUACGUAGGGCGCAAGCGUUAUCCGGAAUUAUUGGGCGUAAAGAGCUCGUAGGCGGUUUGUCGCGUCUGCCGUGAAAGUCCGGGGCUUAACUCCGGAUCUGCGGUGGGUACGGGCAGACUUGAGUGAUGUAGGGGAGACUGGAAUUCCUGGUGUAGCGGUGAAAUGCGCAGAUAUCAGGAGGAACACCGAUGGCGAAGGCAGGUCUCUGGGCAUUAACUGACGCUGAGGAGCGAAAGCAUGGGGAGCGAACA
rnacentral:rRNA from 1 species